CCCGUGAGGCGACUUACGGGUGAACAAAUGGAGGAGGGAGUUUCCUGGGGCAAGGGAUAAAAGAAUAAAAAGCGGAAUGUAUUUCGGUUGCG
rnacentral:rRNA from 1 species